UACGAAGGGGGCUAGCGUUGUUCGGAAUUACUGGGCGUAAAGCGCACGUAGGCGGAUCAUUUAGUCAGGGGUGAAAUCCCGGGGCUCAACCUCGGAACUGCCUUUGAUACUGAUGGUCUCGAGUCCGAUAGAGGUGAGUGGAAUUCCUAGUGUAGAGGUGAAAUUCGUAGAUAUUAGGAAGAACACCAGUGGCGAAGGCGGCCCACUGGUCCGGUACUGACGCUGAGGUGCGAAAGCGUGGGGAGCAAACGGG
rnacentral:rRNA from 1 species